rnacentral:lncRNA from 9 species
CAACACCUAAGGUGACUGGGGCCACAGGUGGAGCCCACUCACAGGCCCCCAGUGGUGGCAGGCCACGCCUCCCUCUGGCCUCUGAGAAGACCACCAUGGUCUUUCCCUGACACCUGUAGAUCACACAAGAAGCACCACAUUGCACUUAGCCCCCCACUGCUCUUGGCCCACACAAAGGUGCCCGGCCAUCCAUAGCCUGCACAAGAAGUGCCCAGGCUCCUGUAGCUCAAACAGGUGGCUUCUCGCCACCCACAGCAUGCACCAGUGGCUCCCCACCCUCUGAAAGCCCGCAGACAGAUGUGCAGGGAGAUUCCUAUGGCAGUCCGCCCCUCCUCCUCUUGCCCUCCCCAACAGUGGCUCCUGGGUUCUCUGGCGGACCCAGACCUUCUCCCGGGUUCUCUCUGCUGUGGUGUUCCACUCUCCAGCCCGUAGCACACCCCUCCCCCACACAUGGCACAGUGUUCUUUAGCCCCUUAGGCUGUCCCCACACUGUCAACCCUAGUCAUCCCCCGGGACUUACCCCAGAGCCUAAGUCUCAGCCCACAGCCCCACCCAAGCCUCUCAGGCUAUGGUGUCUGGGGCGGUGGUGCAGAUGAUUUGUGCAGCUCUCACUCUACUUUGCCCUCCUCAGUCCAGUUGCUGUGCUUUUCUUGGUGACUUUGAGGUUGCUUUGUCACAGCUGAUCUCCUGGUCAGUUAGGUGGCUUGCCAGGGUGUGUGUUGUGUUCCUUUUCUCCUUUGUAGGUCCCUCUCAGGAAUGCUAAACCUGUCCUGAUUCCUUUUCUCUCUCUCUCUCUUUUUCUUUUGUUCUCCCAAUUACGUCAAGAGAUUAUUUCUUUUCUUUUUUCUUUUUUUCUGUCUUUUUUUUUUUUGCCUUUUCCCAGGGCUGCACCCCUGGCAUAUGAACAUUCCCAGGCUAGGGGUCUAUUUGGAGCUGUAGCCACCUGCCUAUGCCAGAGCCACAGCAACACUGGAUCUGAGCCGAAUCUGCGACCUACACCACAGCUUACAGCAAUGCCGGAUCCUUAACCCACUGAGUGAGGCUGGGGAUCAAACCCACAACCUCGUGGUUCCUAGUUGGAUUCAUUAACCACUGAGCCACGACGGAACUCCAAGAGUUUCUUCCCUUUUUGGAGGUUUCUUUUGCCAGCAUUCAAUUGAUGUUUUGUGUGAAUCAUUUUACAUGCAGUGUGUUUUUUUGAUGUGUUUGUGGGAGAAGUUGAGCAUAACGUCUUACUCCUCCAUCUCGAUGCGCCUCUCCAAAAGUAUUUACUCUCAAUUUGGAGAUGUCUCUUGACUGGCAGUAUGUGCAAAGUUAAUUGAUCAUGAAGAAUUUCAUAAAUAGUCCUUUUCCAAUAGGAAACUCUCAGGAGUUAAUGCAUUACAAUUUACACUCGGAGUAAAACAAACUAGACGAAUGAUCACCUUGACGAAGGAAUGACUAUGUGAUUUUCAUAUGGAACUGAGAUGUCUGACAAUAAAAACCCUUAUUACUUCAUUUUCUAUUAUCAAAUAUAAAAGCAGGUUUGUGCAACUUCCAAGUACUCUUGCGUAUGGCAUACCGUGUUUUUAUAAAGUGUCAUUAUUGCAUGAUAAUCAUACAUGGACAAGUGCAUGUUUAAUUUUUCCUUUGUAUUUAUGAAUACAUUUAAGUUCAAGUUUAUCAGUUUUGUAUAUAGUGUAUAAUGCAUUGGGAGAUGCUAGUUUUCAUGAUUAUAAUUUUUUUUUCAUGAUUAUAAUUCUUUCAGAUUGUGUUACUUUGUUUUGGAUUAUUAAAAAACAUUUUAGAAGGAAAUGAGGAGCCCAAAAUAGGGAUCCUUUCAAAUGGUAACCUGUUGAUUCUCAAAAAAAUGAUUGAUGAAGGGAAGUGUAAGAAGUAUGUACACUUAUUUCAGAAUGUAGUGAAUAGCAAACCUACGUCUUAAGAAAGGAAAUGCAGCUUUGCUCCCCAGUGCAUGCGGAACAACUUUUCAAAAUUUGGAAUUUUGUAAAAUACUUUAUUUAAUAACCAGUCUUUCUAGAAUUAUAUAUGAGGAUCCAGAAUAGAUAAUAUUGUUUUAUGGCCCCACCUGUGGCAUAUGGAAGUUCCCAGACUAGGGGUCAAAUCAGAGCUGCAGCUGCCACAUCCACUGCAAGGCCAGUUCUGAGACACAUCUGCAACCUCAACUGCUGCAGCUUUUAGUAAGGCUGGCACCUUAACACACUGAGUGAGGCCAGGGAUCCAACUUGCCUCCUCAGAGAGACAGUACCAGGUCCUUAACUUGCUGAGCCUCAACAGGAGCUCCAGAAUUGACAUGAUAUUUUAUACUUAUACAAUAUAUAAUCAUGUGUUUUUUCUUUUUAAUAUUGGAAAUUUUAUUUUUGCAGGUAAUUUUUAUUGCUUUGUUAAGCAAUACAAUAGUGUUCUAUGAAGAGAAAGGCAUAGUAUUAGUUACAGUUUAAUCCUGAGAAUAUUCCAAGUUCUGAAAUAUUGGAAGUUCUCAGAAAAUAUUUCUUAAUAAUUGAAAAGGUGAUAGAUGAAUGUAUAAGAUGAUUUAGGUGAUUUUUCUCCUGCAUGAAACCUUUGUGUUAAUUCCUGCAUCACAUUUUCCCUCUUGGGUCAGAUGAUGGUUAUAGGGUCCCUCCCUUGCUUGCAUGUGUUCAUGCAUGCAUGUGGCACGUGCACACAACACACACGGGAGCACACACAGUAAUGCUGCAGCCAACAAACAUCAUGUGCUUUAUGUUCACUUCUGCUAAUGAUACCAAAUCCCCCCACUUCCUAGUCCUCCAAUCCAUAAUGUUACACAAAGAUGGUUAUUUCUGUUUUUGAUAGCAGUGGUGUCUGCCCAGGGCUCACUAGUCUGGGCAAAGGGUAGUGAGGCCCAGAAAGGGCAGCCCCAGCCCUUGGCUCCAUGCUUCUCUCCCCACCACCAGGCUCACCAAGCCAGCUCUCUUCCUGGACUCCAGUGUGGCAUGGGGAGGGUGGACCACAGCCUCCUCUGCCUGGGUGGCUGGGGCAGAGCAUUGGCAGGAGGGGCAGGGGAGGGACUUGGGCCAGGGAAGUAAGUGGGUCUAUUUUCCUGGGCCCUAGAUGGAUCACUCCUGACCAGGCUGGUGUUUGGGGAGCACACAGCCUCUCUCAACAUUCAGCGCUGAGCAAAGAAUCCCAUCUCUCUUCCUGGACCCCACUGACCUACUCACCCUACUCACCACACUUUCCAGGAUAAAGCUUGUUCCAGCCAUGGCAUCCUUCUAACCAUCACUGUCAAUUGCCUUGAUAAUUCUGUAUAGGUUUUUGCCUUUUUUUUCUCUUUAGGGCUCCAACUGGAGCCACAGUUGCAUCAUUCAGAUUCCUCUACCCACUACACCACAGUGGGAACUCCUGUAUUUUCUAUGGAGUUCAUUUAGAGUCAAAUACAUAGAAACAUUUUUACUUUUGCAGAGGUUAAGUAGGAAGUUGAAUGUUCUCUAAUAAACUUUUCCAGGUCUUUGCUCUCUCUGCAUAUUUUCUUUAAUGAUGGUCCUAGGGAAAGCCUUAAUACAAGAUUUGAAAAGCCAAAGCCAGAUCGUUCUGAUUUCCCUAAAGCUACAUGAUUUCAUGAUUUACAUAAUUACAGCUUUUAUCUCUGUGUGUACAUUUCAGAAUAAAAUUAAAAAAUAUCAGAAGCCCAGCCUAGGAGUUUCCUUGUGGUCCAGCAGGUGAAGGGUCCACCAUUGUCACUGCAUCGGCUUGAGUUGCAGCUGUGGCCCAGGUUCAAUCCCUGGCCCAGGAAUUUUCACAUACCAUGGUUUUGCCCAAAACAUGAAUUUCAAAAGAGAGAACAAAAUUAUAUUAUUGUUAAAUCCUUUUAAAAAAGAAAAUAAAAUCCCAGCCUAGCCAAAAGGAGAGAGUGUCAGGCCGGUUCAUUGUAAUGAAUGCCAAGAGGGAUGAGAAAUUCAGCUAGACAAAGACUGGAAAGGUGGCACCUUUAUUUAUCAGUUGGAAUCAUCAGGGACUCUGGUGUCCAUUCAAAGGAAUGGGGGAAGGAAAAGACAUCCUGGAAGUGGUGGAGACUGUCAAAGAGAAAAGAAACAAAUCUUUCUAGAAGCUUGUCAUGGGAAAUAAGAUUGGUACAAUUCAGCGGGGAGAAACAGCAUGAGACGUUCACAGAGAGAGGAGAUUUUAAGUCGUCAUCUGAAGAAAGAAAAUGCAGAUAAAAUGGUAGGCUCAUUGGGCGGAUGCCUGGUUUUCUUCAGCAGCACAAAGGUGCCUGGGUGAGGUAAGAGGGGAGGAAUGAUAAUCGAUGUCUUGUGAGCUGGAGUUUGGCCAAGUACGGGGAGAGGACAGAAAGACGAGGGAAGAGAGAAUUUUAGCUCUUGGUAUUGUUGGGGAAAAACUUUUCCUCUACCCUCUUAGUUUCAGUGAUUGGAAGUCUGCAAAUUAGAUACAAGCAGACUGCCUGAGGAAAAACCAUUUAAUUACAUAUGUCUAUAUGCAGAUGCUCACAAAGAAAUGUGGUUUGGAGGGGUGGCUAGAAUUUGGGAUUUGCCAACUAUGUAAUAAGUGGCAAGGAGUAGGAAAAAGGCAUCAAUGGAUUUUUCCUUAAAAUGAGCUUUCCAUUCUUAUACUUCUAUGAAACUAAAAUUGUAAGGUUUGUUCCAUGGUAAUAAUUUUUCAACAUAGAAUCUUAAAUACAUAAAAUGAAGAAAGUGGUUCUGUUAUAAUGUCAUGUGAAAAUUUUAGUGGCAAAAACAACAACAAAAAAAACCCCAAAAAGCUGCUUGAAGAAAGGAAUAAGAGAGGGGCUAGGCCGGUUUUCACCCUGGGAUUCUGAUCAUGACUUUCUAGAAUUAGAAACAAGGAAAACAAUAUGGAAUUCUUGAAUUGUAACUCUGGAACUUUGUUUCCAUUCUAGAAAUGAGGGCCGGCUUUUGGAAACAUCUAAUUAUAUUUAUCCACUUCAUUCUGAAAUGCCUGGGGAUACUUCAAACUAUAUUGCAAGUGCCUCCACCUAGAGUGUUCUUUUUAUUAUAGAUUUUCAUUCAAAAAUAACCUACACAGUAGAAAAAAUAACAUAUUGUGGAAAUACAAAUAAAUCAAUCUAUUAUCUCACUGUUAAAAAAAAUAAACCAUCUACACAGAAGCAUUACAUGAGAUUUUCUGAAGCAGUGGAAGAAGCUGAGCAUUUUAUUAACAAAAGCGUUUCAUACAAUUGAGUUCUAUACUGCCUUCCUUCAUAACCAAUUUACCCUCAUUAGCAGGCAGGCGGCAGACCCGAUGCAGCUGGUGCCUCCUCUGAAGGGAACCUGGCAUGACAUCCCUGCUGACCUUUGUAUUCUAUUGCUUUUGCUUCCAGUUAAGAAUGUUGCCUAUAACCUGCAGUGUACAGGGCAGCCCAUUCUCAAGACCCUGCCAUUCCAGGUAAAGCAUUUUUCUAUUCCUGAAGAGAUUUAAAAAGUUGCAGGACAGAAGACAGCAUGUCUUUUGUUGGAGGUUUACAGGAUCAUCUUGACUUGACCUACUAAAACAAUUCCUGCACCAAGAAGUUUGCAACAACUAACUAUGGUCCUCUCUCCCCUGGCCCCUGAAAACACUUUGCUGAAACUCUUUGGGGAGUUCAGGGUUGGGGUGUAGGGGCCCCCGUUCUCCUUGUAUGAUGCUGCAAUAAAGCUUUCUCUGCUCCAAACCCACAUGUUUUGGUAUUGCUUGCCCUAGCUGUGCCUCAGCACACAAAACUGUUCAGCACCAAGAAGAAUGGUCAGCUCAGUAAGGUAGCUCUGUUUUAGGGGCCUUGGUCUCACUGUGGAGGAGGGUGGUGAGGACAGCAUCACACCCUUUGUGUUACUGAGUCCAAGCUCAUACCUUUUGCCCCCUGACAGGCCAAUGCAUUGAGAGUUGUUGGGGCAAGGAAUGACACUUUUAUUCAGAAAGCUAGCGACAGAAAAGCCAAAGGAGCCUCUUCCCUCCAGGUGGAAUUCAGGCUUCUUUCAUCCUUAAGUGAGGGGAAGGGGAGGGUAUGGUUGUUGGUUGCAAACUGCUUGCUGCAGGAAUCCUUUGUCCAUUAGGCCAGGCCACACUAUGCCUACACACUUCCAAAAGAAUAAAUGUUACUCCCUCUUUUGCAAAUUUACCUCUACAUGAAUAGAACUUUGAAGGAUUAGCAAUGAGAUCCUGCUGUGUAGCACUGGGACCUAUGUCUAGUCACUUAAUGAUGGAGCAUGGUAAUGUGAGAAAAAAGAAUGUAUGCAUGUAUGUGUAACUGGGUCACCUUGCUGUACAGAAGGAAAAAAAA